UUAAAGGGCCGCGGUAAUUUGACCGUGCGAAGGUAGCAUAGUCAGUAGUCUUUUAAUUGAAGGCUUGAAUGAAAGGUUGGACGAGAGAUAAGCUGUCUCCUUUACGUGGUUUGAACUUAACUUUUGAGUGAAAAGGCUCAAAUUUCAUAGAGGGACGAUAAGACCCUAUAAAACUUUAUAUAGAUCUAAUUUAACUUGUGAUUUAAGUGAAAAGUAGUUUUGUUGGGUUUAUAUUUCGUUGGGGAGAUGUAGAUAUAAUAUGUAACUGUCUAUUUAAUUUAAUAAUUAUAAUUAGUGUGUGAUCCUUCUUUGUGGAUUAAAAGUAUAAGUUACUUUAGGGAUAACAGCGUAAUUUUCUUUGAGAGUUCUUAUCGACAAGAGUAGUUGCGACCUCGAUGUUGAAUUAAAAUUUCAGCUGGGUGUA
rnacentral:rRNA from 1 species